GCGAGAGUGGUGGAAUUGGUAGACACGCUAGAUUUAGGAUCUAGUGCCUAACGGUGUAAGGGUUCGAGUCCCUUCUCUCGCA
rnacentral:tRNA from 1 species